CUUAAUGAGAAGCAGGCUCUGAGAGGCAGCAGGAACACAAGGAGGCUACCUAGCAAGAGCACAACCAGACCGCGGUCCCAGCCCCCUGUGGCCAGAAUGCGGCCAUGGGCUGCCAGACGACGUGUUGGUUCAGGCCUACCUCGACUGCGGAGGCCACCUGAGAAAGCCUACCUCUCCCUGUGUCUUUGUGUCUGUGGCUCUGCUCAGUAUCAUUGACUGAAGGGGACAUGGAGACCAUCUAGUCCAACAGCCUGGACAAGGAAACUGAGGCUUCCAGGGAUCAAGCCCCUACCUGCCACCUGACUCCUGAGAGGGAUAUGCUUCCACCCCUCACUCCCAGAGGCUGGGGGAAAAGUCUCCUCUUUGUGACACAACUAAAGGAACUAAAGACCUGAACUGAAGCUCCAGAGUCCCCUCUGGGUUUGUCCCAAGAGGCCCAUGGUGGUUGUCCAGUCUGGACUCCUACAGUCCUGAUGUCACAGCAAAGGGUUCUGAGGUCCAUCCAUUGAAGGGCACACAAGUAAACGCCAGAUUUGUCUCUCUUACUGAAGCAUGAGUCUUACCUGGAUCUAUGGAAGGUCAAGGGCCUUGUAUUUAACACCAAAUACAAAUUUCUUUGCUUGAAUAUUCUAGAAUAUAAUAACUGCCUGGCAUGUUGCCAUUUCAUUUUGAUGGUUCCAAUCUAAAUGCAACAUGUACUUGAAAAGCUGCAUUCUGAAACUAUGACUAAAAUGACACUAGAGAUCUUAUUUUUCCAAAUAAGCUGAUUCAGACAUUACAUUCUUGGUCAGUCCUCUGGACAAAAGGGAAAAACACAGGUGUUAGAUUCCAAAGUGGGUUAGUGGAGAGAGCUUUUUAGUAGAGGUUGCUGCCUCAGGAGAACAAACUAUGUCUUGCAUACCAAGCAUUUCUGGUGCAGGGAAUAAAUCCUUCACCUGUGUGUUCACUCUCCUUUGUACUCCCCAAAGAUUACUCAACUAAACACUAAAUUUGAUGAGGACUCCAUAUCAAGAGAUCAUCCUUUUUGCUUUUUUAUUGAUUUGUAGUCUUUUUAUAUCAACUCUGGCUCUCCAUCUCUGUUACACAUCAGGGUUAAAGAAAAGAUUCAGGUAGAAAAGAUUUAGACUUGAAAAGAAGCAUGAAUGUGUUGCAAGGAAUUGCCAUCACUGACUGGGAAUGCUCUGGGUGUAGCUGACUCUAUUCACAACACAACAAAAGUUGGCAAGAGGCCUAGGAGCAAAAAUGAAAACUAAACCAUGCAGAUGAAACCCUGCCAAGUAAUGGGAAAAGAUGGAACUGUCCCUAAGAAGAGAAGGGGGGGACUCAGAAGAAAAUGGCAAACUCCUGACAAUGCUGUAAAGGCCACAUGGUUGUAUUUCUUUUUAAAAUCAUUAACACUCAACAGGCAGAGUUUGCUUUACUUCAUGACGCUUCAAGGGUUCAGGCUGCAGUCUGCCCAGCACCCCUCUGUUCACAGGGCUGCUCCUGUCUCUUUCUACGAGGUUCUGAUAGGACCACCAACACCAAUUCAUCCCCGACUCCCUGGCGAAGGAGAGGGCACAUAACCCUGGCCAAUCUUGUUCUCCACGGCCCUGUGUAAGGUCAUUGGUUCAAAGGAUGGGCAUAUGACCCAAGUCAAUGAAAGAGUCUCCAAGACAUUGGGCCUGUAGAUGCCACAUCAUUGUUUCUGUUUCUGAGCUCCUAAGCUCAAAGGUGCAUAUGAGCUUACAGCUUCUGGGGGCUGUUCUGUGGUUGAAUGGAGAACAAAGCAAACAGAGGUAGGUGGAAGGGAAUGGGCAGGAAAUGGGAAAGAAUAGAAGGAGGGAAGAGAGAAACAGAGUGAAGCCAUGACGACACUGUUUGAAGGCCUGGAUCCACUUACGUCGGAGCCAGCACUUGCUCAGCUUGGCUUCCCCUCUAUAGAAGUCAAAAGAUGCUCUUUGGUGCUUAAGCUGAUUUGACGUAGGUUUCUGUCAAUUGCAGACCAAGACCUGGAAACUCUUCUGACUCCCAUUUUGUAAGUAUGGAGAAACUACGUCCCAGAGACGUGUCGGCCAAGAUUAGACAGGAAGGUGAAGGAAAGUCCUCGUGAGCACAGAAACACUGUGUGCCAAUGGACUGACCAACACACCGAAGGCCACUAUAGAAUCACAGAACUAGAGAUUCCUCUCCCACACCUCAGACACGUGAUCUGCUAGCCUCUGCUUGAGCAUCAUGAAUUGUAUCAGCCUUUGUCACAGCUCUGAGAUUUCUGGACUCCAAAAGGACCCUGCAUUCCCAAAAUGUCUUGCUUUCAAGCCUACAAUAGUAUUUUAUUUUUUGCUCCAGUUUCUUUUUUCUCUUUAAGAAAAAAAAGAUGGAAUUUGUUUUUCAUGUUAUCUCAAAGAUCCCAAGGGCAGGAGGUAUAACUGGGUCUCACAGAUGUCUAGACAGCAACUAGAAAAUGAGAAAUACACAGUGCUGGCUGUGUCUCUUGAGAGUCACAUGGCUUCUUAACUUUUGCUUUUACCGUUCUUCCUCCUUCUUCUCUCUGCUUAGGAUCUUCUCGUCUUCGUACCCAUGCCCUCUCCAGCACCAGCGUCGCCCACCUGCUAGGUUCAAGCAUCCAACAGUAACCACUUCAGUACAUUGAGAUCAACUGUUCUCGGACUUUUUGGUCUCAGACCUCCUUCUUACUCUUAAAAAUUGUUGGGGAACCCAAAGAUCUUUUGUUGACAUAGGUUAUAUCUACUGAUAUUUACCAUGUUCAAAAUUAAAACAGAAAAAAAUUAAAUAUUUAUUUAUUCAUUUAAAGGUAGUGAUAAUAAACCAAUUACAUGUUAACCUAUAUAUUUUUUUUAUUUUGUUAAGGUCACAAUAGGUUAUAACAUUGUGAAAUUUCAGUUGUACAUUAUUAUUUGUUUGUCACUAUAUCUAUGUGCCCCUUUACCCCUUUCGCCCACCACUCACCGUCUCUCCUCUGAUAACCACUAAUCUAUUCUCUUUCUCCAUAUGUUUGUUUAUCUUCCACAUAUGAGUGAAAUCAAACAGUGUUUGUCUUUUCCUGUCUGGCUUACUUCAUUUAACAUAAUACCCUCAGGGUCCAUCCAUGCUGUUGCAAAUCGGACAAUUUUGUCUUUUUUUAUGGCUCAGCAGUAUUCCAUUGUGUAUAUAUACCACAUCUUCUUUAUCAAUCAUCAGUUGAUGGACACUUGGGUUGCUUCCAUAUCCUGGCUAUUGGGAACAAUGCAGCAAUGAACCUAGGGGUGCAUGAGUCUCUUUGAGUCGUUGAUUUCAAGUUCUUUGGAUAAACACCCAGUAGUGGGAUAGCUGGGUUGUAUGGUAUUUCUAUUUUUAGUUUUUGGAGAAAUCUCCAUACUCUUUCCCAAAGUGGCUGCACCAGUUUGCAUUCCCACCAACAGUGGAUGAGGGUUCCCCUUUCUGCACAAUCUGUCCAAUAUUUGUUGUUUUUUAUUUUGGUGAUAAUAGCCAUUCUAACAGGUGUAAGGUGAUAUCUCAUUGUAGUUUUGAUUUGCAUUUCCCUGAUAAUUAGUGAUGUUGAACAACUUUUCAUGUGCCUGUUGGCCAUCUGUAUGUCUUCUUUGGAAAAAUGUCUGUUCAUAUCCUCUGCCCAUUUUUUGCUCAGGUUGUUCGGUGUUUUUUUGUGGUUGAGUUGUGGGAGUUCUUUGUAUAUUUUGUAGAUUAGCCCCUUCUUAGAUACGUGAUUUGCAAAUAUUUUCUUGCAGUUGGUGGGUUGUCUUUUCAAUUUGUUGCUGGUUUCCUUUGCCUUGUGAAAGCUCUUUAGUCUGAUGAAGACCCAUUU
rnacentral:lncRNA from 1 species